UACAGAGGGGGCAAGCGUUAUUCGGAAUUAUUGGGCGUAAAGGGCGCGUAGGCGGCUUUUCAAGUGACGGGUGAAAUCCCUCGGCUUAACCGAGGAACUGCCUGUCAGACUGGAAGGCUUGAGACCGGGAGAGGUGAGUGGAAUUCCCAGUGUAGCGGUGAAAUGCGUAGGGAUCGGGAGGAACACCAAAGACGAAGGCGGCUAACUGGAAAGUUACUAACACUCAACUACGAAAGCGUGAAGAGCAAACAGG
rnacentral:rRNA from 1 species